AUUUUUCUUUUUCUUCUUAGACUUCUCAGUCAAAGAAACAGAAAGCACCAAGAAUGUGAAACAGCCUGGAAAUAUUUUCUCCUCCAUCAAGAAGCACAACAUGUCCUUUCAAAGCUUAAUUGAGCAGCACAGAGCUAAUUAGCUGUCCAAAGACAUGCCAUUUAAUUCACUACCCAGCAUUAAUUUGUUCUACAGACUGAGCUUAUCUCAUAUAUAAAUGCCUUUGCCCUGUAGCUUUCCAAACAGCUGCAAUAUACAAAAAAGACUGAUAACUCUGUCAUUUAAAUGUUGCUUGCUUCCUUCACUUCUGCAUAAAAUACUGAACUGCGUGUGAAUUGUAACUGGAAAGUUUUCAUGGUCACAACAAAAAAAUAAUUUGUUUUUAUUCUCUUUUAGCUGGAAAUGAUGUUAUCACUCUGGGAUUGAAAACCCACCAUUUGAGGUUUGCACUAGAUUAUAGUUUACAAUUUGUUAAUCUAAUGUGGAAUUUUGAUAGUAUGUUGAAUGGUUUCAAAGCUUUUUGAAGAUAGCUUGUUAAAAUGGUCUAUUGUGGUCAGUGACCAAGGAGUGGAUAAAAUCUGCUGCCUACACAUGUCUGUAUGAGACUUAUGGGGCAGGCAUCAUUCAUCCAGCAACUGAUCCUCAACAUAAUCUGGUCCUGAGCUCUGCUUCCUCCAUUGCCUUACCAACCUAAGGUGAAGGUUGUGCUUCCCUCGCUGACCCUGUGCAAGUGAAGAACUGCAUCCCUCUCCCCUGAAAGACAGAAGUGAUAAUCCAAUUGCCAGCUGCCCAUUGUGCAAAUGGAAAAGAGUAUUUUUAUCUAGCUGAAAGAUAGAGGAUGAAGUGUCACCUUCCCGGGAUGACAGAUGGUAAGACAAACAGUCCAACCACAGACAGUUUUCCUGAGAACAUGAUCUGCUUGUGCAUGUUGAUAUUGUUGGCUUAUUGAGCUGCUGAUCACCUCUUUUCACUGCAUGGACUGUGGCAGCUCUGGGUGUGAGGCACAGGGUGCAUAGCUGGGAAAGGGCUUUCCUGCUGCUAGUAUAAGUGCU